AAAAAGGCAAAUCCUAAGUUUCCGUGCCAACGUUUGACUAUCUGUCUUAUAUGAAAUUUUUUUAUAAUUAGUAUUUUCAUUGUUGUUAGAUGAUAAAACAUGAUUAAUACUUUAUGCGUGACUUAUCUUUUUAAUUUUUUUCAUAAUUUUUUCAAAUAAGACGGACGGUCAAACGUUGGACACGGAAAUCAGGGUUUAUCUUAUU
rfam:Oryza glumipatula chromosome 8, whole genome shotgun sequence.